UCACGCCGGUUUAAACUCAGAUCAUGUAAAAUUUUAAAGGUCGAACAGACCUAAUAUUCUCAGCUGCUACACCAAAAAUUAAUUUUAAUCCAACAUCGAGGUCGCAAACUUCUUUUUCGAUUAGAACUCUCAAAAAAUAUUACGCUGUUAUCCCUAAGGUAAUUUUUUCUUUUAAUCAUAAAAUAUGGAUCAAAUAAUCAUAUAUUAAUGGUUUUUAACAAAAAAAGUUAAAUUAAUUUUUCAAUCACCCCAAUCAAAUAUAAUUUAAAAUUAAAAAUUUAUAUACCAAUAAAUAUUAAUAUUAAUAUCUAUAUAAAACUCUAUAGGGUCUUCUCGUCUUUUAAAAUAAUUUUAGCUUUUUAACUAAAUAAUAAAUUUUUAAUUUAAUUUAAAUAGAGACAGUCAUUUUCUCAUAAAACCAUUCAUACCAGCUUCUAAUUAAGAAACUAAUGAUUAUGCUACCUUAGCACGGUCAAAAUACCGCGGCCAUUCAACUACUCAGCGAGCAGGCUAGACCUAAAAUUAAAUUCAAUAGGACAUGUUUUUAAUAAACAGGUGAAAAAUUAAUUUGCCGAAUUCCUUUACUUAACCUAAAAUCAUUAAAUUAAUUUUACAUUAAAAUUAUACUAAUUCUAUCAUUAUUCCUUAAUAUAAAAAAUUAAAAUUAAAAUUUUAAUAAAAAACUUAUAGAAAAUAAAAAUUAAAUUUUUAUAAAAAUAAAUUAUAACACUUUUUUAAUAAUAAACACUUCUAAUCCUAUAACUUAUUACAAUCCUCGCCUCUAAUAAUUCUUUAUUUUUAAGCUUAUCCCUAAAAAUAUUAAAUAUUAAUAUUAAAUAAAAUUAAAAAAUUAAAUUUUUAAUAAAUAAUAUUCAAAAUUAAAUUUUUUUCUUAAAAAACUAGAUAUAUUUAAAAACGAUUAACAUUUCAUUACAAAAAACUUAUUAAUAAUAUUUUUUAAACAAUAAAAAAAAUAAGUUCUUAACUCUUUUAAAUUCGAGAUAAUAAAAUACUUUAAAUUAUUUAAUAAACCCUGAUACACAAGGUACAAAAAAUUAAAUCUUCUUAUAAACAACUAAACAAAUUCUUUCACAAUACUUAUAAACUAUCAUUAAAAAUAUUUUUUCUAUAUAAAUAAUAAAAAUAAGCUAUUUAUAAUAAAAUAAAACAAAAUAAAUAUUAAUAUUAAUAAUUUUUUAAUU
rnacentral:rRNA from 1 species